GGGAGUGAAUGUUGAGCAUCUAAGGUACAAUACACAUGCAAGAUGAAAUUGACCUUACUAAAGAAAAUCCAACUCUUUGAGUUUGUAAUAAUAAUAAUAUACUCAUGGAAUUUUGCAAAAUAUACAAUUGCAGCCUUGCUUCUGUCAAAGUAAAUUAGAUGAUCUAAACUUUUCAAAUUGCAUGCACUUAAAUCCCUUUUUCAAAAUUUCAUACACUUUCUACAUUUUUAAGUAGAAUAAUUUUUUAGUCUCUGAUUUUUUACUUAAAAUCCUCUAGUUUUCAUAUAUUAAACAGUAUUAAAGCUCUAGGAUCGAAAAGUCUUUUCAUUUAAAAGUGAGGGA
rnacentral:misc_RNA from 1 species